GCUCUUGUAGUUUAAUGGUUAGGACAUUGUUUUUUCGUGACAAAAUUGUGGGUUCAAAUCCCACUAAGAGUA
rnacentral:tRNA from 1 species